GGGCGUAUAGCUCAGUGGUAGAGCGCCUGCUUUGCAUCUUAAUUGGGCAAAAUUGCAGGAGGUCUGGAUUUCGAUCAUCCAUCCGUCCA
rfam:Alternaria alternata strain SRC1lrK2f unplaced genomic scaffold CC77scaffold_4, whole genome shotgun sequence.